UAAUAAUAAUAAUAAUAAAACUCCCAAGCCAUACUAAACCUAUUUAUAACAUACAAUCAAACACAAACCAAGUUUUUGUUCAGACAUAACUCACAUCAAAUAGGGCAGUCCAACUACCAUAAACAAAGGAUUUUUUUUCCCUCUUAUAUUUUUGAUAGGACCCAUGAGAUAGUUUUAACAUUUAACCGACCAUAGGCCCACUAGAGGCAGGGCCUCUGCAUUCGAAUUUACUUGCAACCACUCAGCCCAGCCUAGCAAUGUUCUCCACAAGCGGUGCAAUUCAUGGGAGGCCGUACUUGAGCCUGGAACUGCAUCAAUAACCCUGACUACUUGCCACCGCAGAUUUACAAAAAUGUUCUCAUGAAGAGCCAUCAUCUCUAAUUAGUCCACUAUCUAGAACAGUGCAAAGGAAAGGCUGCUAGAAAAGCCUUGCCUUUAAAGCAUUAUAAACACCAUGCCUUCAAGACAAAAAUACCCUGCGAGUCUCACAUUUUGUCCCAUUGCAUCAUAGUUCAAGGAUUCAUGCCAUGAUAUGGCAAUGUAGCUUUGCUAAAAGCUGAUGUUAAACAAACCGCCGGGGACAAAAUAAUCCAAACGAAACUCGAGCAUGAAAAUUUCCACGCUGUAAAGACGAAUAUUACAUUUCCAUGCGCAAAAUAUUUACAAGACAUGUACCCCAAUCCCCAGCCCUACAUGAAAAUACCAAAAAAUGUACAAACUCUAGCCCUAUGGUUUUAACUUCCAUCACUAAUUGGAACCCAGUCAACGUCUAUUUUUGUGUCUCCUUAGGUAGUUAGCUCUAAAAAACCGAGCUAUUAAUUAGCCAGUGCCUCCUUUGUCUCCAACUUAAAGCAUCCUCCAGUGCCCAAAAACUAAAACAGAGUACUAUAACCGCAAACAAACAAACAACAACAAUAGCAACAAAGGUAAAAGG